GCAGUGAAACCAGAUUUGCAAUCAAUCACUUCAAUGGAGCUUGCGCAAAAAUCCAGGCUAUCGAGCAAGAAGAGCAAUCCUGAGUGAGACUAGGAAUUCAAUAUGGGAAUGAGAAAGUUUGCAUUCAAGAAAGAAGCCACUCUGUUCUGCAAGCACUGAAGGCCAAAAGCAUUCAGAAAAGUCAAAUGCUACCUACAUAGCACAUGGUGCAAAGGUCAAUGCAAGACACAUGCUGAUGCCUCAUCAUCUAUUUCAGGAGAGGAAUUGCACAUGGCAACGUACACUAGAAAAUACUGCUACAGAUAUGUUAUGCUACUAGACAGGGACUAGUAUUAAGUAUGAGCAAAGAAUUGGUUGACCUUAAUGUUUGGAUGAGGAAUAAGAAUGAUCUCUAACAAGAAUGGGGAAUGAGAAAGCUUGGAUUCAU
rnacentral:lncRNA from 1 species